rnacentral:rRNA from 1 species
UACGGGGGGGGCAAGCGUUGUUCGGAAUUACUGGGCGUAAAGGGCUCGUAGGCGGCCAACUCAGUCAGACGUGAAAUCCCUCGGCUUAACCGGGGAACUGCGUCUGAUACUGGCUGGCUUGAGAUCGGGAGAGGGAUGCGGAAUUCCAGGUGUAGCGGUGAAAUGCGUAGAUAUCUGGAGGAACACCGGUGGCGAAGGCGGCAUCCUGGACCGACACUGACGCUGAGGAGCGAAAGCCAGGGGAGCAAACGGG